AUGAACGCUGGCGGCGUGCCUCAUCCAUGCAAGUCGCGCGAACGGACGAGAAGCUUGCUUCUCUGAUGUUAGCGGCGGACGGGUGAGUAACACGUGGAUAACCUACCUAUAAGACUGGGAUAACUUCGGGAAACCGGAGCUAAUACCGGAUAAUAUUUUGAACCGCAUGGUUCAAAAGUGAAAGACGGUCUUGCUGUCACUUAUAGAUGGAUCCGCGCUGCAUUAGCUAGUUGGUAAGGUAACGGCUUACCAAGGCAACGAUGCAUAGCCGACCUGAGAGGGUGAUCGGCCACACUGGAACUGAGACACGGUCCAGACUCCUACGGGAGGCAGCAGUAGGGAAUCUUCCGCAAUGGGCGAAAGCCUGACGGAGCAACGCCGCGUGAGUGAUGAAGGUCUUCGGAUCGUAAAACUCUGCUAUUAGGGAAGAACAUAUGUGUAAGUAACUGUGCACAUCUUGACGGUACCUAAUCAGAAAGCCACGGCUAACUACGUG
rnacentral:rRNA from 1 species